AUUGAACGCUGGCGGCAGGCCUAACACAUGCAAGUCGAGCGAGCCGGGGACGGGUGUGUAAUGUAUGGGGCUAUGCCCUGUAGAGGGGGAUCACUACGGGAAAGUGUGGCUAAUCACGCAUACUAUCGGAUGAACCCAUAUGGGUUUGGCUAGUAGGUGGGGUAGAGGCUCACCUAGGAGACGAUCUCUAGCUGGUCUGAGAGGAUGAACAGCCACACGGGAACGGAGACACGGCCCAGACUCCUACGGGAGGCAGCAGUGGGGAAUAUUGCACAAUGGGCGCAAGCCUGAUGCAGCCAUGCCGCGUGUAUGAAGAAGGCCUCAGGGUUGUAAAGUACUUUCAGCGGGGAGGCGUUACCCGCAGAAGAAGCACCGGCUAACUCCGUGCCAGCAGCCGCGGUAAUAC
rnacentral:rRNA from 1 species